rnacentral:snoRNA from 1 species
GGCCUCUCUCCCAUAGGGUUGUAGGGGGUCCCUUUUCUUCUCAUCCAAGAAUGAAAGCCACUAUCAGGCCUGGAAGAUCAUUGUCAGGAAUGCCACAAUCUGGGAAGCCUUAUUUUCCUAAAUCAGUCAUUU